GAGAAAAACCCUGUGGCUGGAAAAAAAACUGAAUCGUCCAAUCAGAAUACCAAUUCUGUCCCAGGAAAAGGGGUGACUGUUGCUGCUGCCCAAGCAAAAGGAGAGCAGAACAAAGCUGCUUCAAAUAAGGCCCUGCCUCCAGCUGCGAGAAAAGCAGGGGCAAAUAAAGGCCUUUCUAGUAAAGCAGGACCUCCUUCGCAGUCACUGAUUUCAGGAGGACAAAAAACAACACAGACCACAAAGACAGCAGAGUCCUCUGAAAGCAGCAGCAAUAGCAGCUCAUCGGAGAGUGAGGAAGAAACAACUUUGACCACAGCAAAAGCCCCACCUUCCAAACCAACUUUAAAGAAGGCGGUGAGCACAAACAAGGAUUCAAGUGAUGAUUCUGACUCUGAAGAUGAGACAAAAGCACCAACAGUCCAAAUUAAAGCAGCUGUGCAAAAAUCCCCAAUCAGUAGCUCACUGCUGAACAGGUUGCCAGUCACUCCUGGCUCUUGUGCAAGAAAUACAGUAAAGGUAACAGCAGCAAAGCCAGCCAGUGCAAAAUCUGGAAAUGCAAACAGAAGCCCAGAAUCAACAGAUACUUCAGAAACUACUGACUCAUCGGAUAACGAGACUAAAGCACCUGCUUCAGUAUCACAGGCCUUCAAAACAACAGCAAAAAAUGCAGCAUCAAGCCCAUUAAAGAAGACAGUUUCUGCUUCUGUUCCUUCAAAAUCCACGCAGAAGGCCGCCACGACCAGCUUAUCAAAACCACCACCCCCUUCAAAAGACGUCCAGAGCUCAGACAGCAGUGACUCGUCAUCUGAGAGUGAUAGUGAGAUUCCGCCGCUUCCCAUAGGUCAGAAGGCCUUAAAAACAACCGAGAAAAACGCAGCAUCAAGUCCAUUAAAGAAGGCAGUUUCUGCUUCAAUUCCAUCAAAAUCCCCUCAGAAGACUCCCACGACCAGGUUAUCAAAGCCUCCUGCAAAAGAAGCCCAGAGCUCAGACAGCAGCGACUCAUCAUCUGAGAGUGACAGUGAGACUUUGCCGGUUCCCAUAAGUCAGAAGAGAUUGUCAACUCCACAGCCUUCUGUGAAGGCCAGACAAAACCAGGCCAAUCAGCCUGGGAUCUUACCCAAAGCUGUACCAGGUGUUUUGAAGGAGAAGGAAGCACAGAAUGAAAGCAGCACCUCGUCUGACAGUGAGGAUGAAACUGACCUUACACCAUGCAAACUGCCAGCUCCAUCUACCCCCAAAGCAACUCCCGCAGCUCAAAGUGUAUGUACAGUGAAGCCCCAGCCUCCAAAGGAAUCGCCUCAGAAAGCCCAGCGAAGCGACGAUAGUAGUGAAGAUUCAAGUGAUGACUCUGAUUCGGAGGAAGAUAGAGUGGCUGCUCAGAAACCAGCUCAGCCUCCUAUUCACCCUUUUUUUAAGCUGGUGGCUGGCAAAGCAGCCAGUCCUUCAGGAAAGCUUGUACAGACCAACUUAAAUACACCCAGUGCUGCUUCCACCAAACCCCAGGGAUCUGCCACAAAAGCAACAGGGAAGGAAGAACAAAUUCCCUCUCCAAAGGUUAAACCAAGCCAGGGACAGGCUCUGACUGCUACGCCCUCUGGAAUCACUAUACAUAAGGAGAGCUCCUCAGACAGUUCCUCAGACAGCAGUGAGGAAGAAGCAGAAGCUUCGACAACAGCCAAACCUCAGGCGAAGCCUGCCACCCAGCAGAAACAAGAGGCAAAAAAAGAGUCAGAGAGCUCAUCUGAGGAGUCCAGUGAUGAAGAACAAGAAGCUUCUCAGUCUCUUUUAACGGGGCUAUCUGGUCCUCACAAGAUCCAAGCAUCCACGGUGGUAGCAAAUCCUCUGCUCUCCAAACAGGGUUCUGUCGGUGCUCAAGCAAAGUCUCCUGGGAAGCCAGCGCCUCCUGACAGCACGUCAUCAACUGACAGUUCUUCAAGCGAUAGCGACACUGAGAAAACCGUCACACCGAAAAAAGAGGCCACCUUGUUGCCUUCUUCUGGAAAGGAAGCAGCAGCUGCUAAGGGAAAGGGGGCAGGGAAGCGGGGGCUGAAAAGCAGCAGCUCCAAGCCUCCCCCAGCAAAGAAAGCUGCAACAAAGGCUCAGAGCAGUGGCCAAGGCCAGGAGACAUCUGCUGUACAGUUGCCAGAGUCACUCUCCCCAUCGUUCAAAGCGCUCCUUGGGAACAAAGACCAGGACACGGAACAAGGUACCCCAGAAGGGGCCCAGGCUAACCCUGUGGCAAAGGCCAAGACAUCGAAAAAUGGGAAAAAAGAGAAGCCAUCCAAGAAACGGAAACUGGCAGAUGGGGACACUGGCUCUAAGGUUUCAAAGGGCAAGAAGCUUAAAAUGCAGAGUGCGGAAGAGACACCGUUAAAAAAGAAGAAGAAGAAAUCCAAGUCUUCAGACAGCAUCAAAUCAACAAAGAAAAAAGACAGCAAAGAAAAGAAGUCUGAUAAAAGUGAGAACCCCAUCUCUUAUUCCAUGUGGGCAUAUCAAAGCUGGGUGCUAAUUCAUGUUCCUGGUCCUAUUUUUUUUUUUUUUUUUUUCAUUAUUUAG
rnacentral:lncRNA from 1 species